AUUGAACGCUGGCGGCAUGCCUUACACUUGCAAGUCGAACGGCAGCAUGAUCUAGCUUGCUAGAUUGAUGGCGAGUGGCGAACGGGUGAGUAAUACAUCGGAACGUGCCCUGUAGUGGGGGAUAACUAGUCGAAAGAUUAGCUAAUACCGCAUACGAACUGAGGGUGAAAGUGGGGGGCCGCAAGGCCUUAUGCUAUAGGAUCGGCCGAUGUCUGAUUAGCUAGUUGGUGAGGUAAAGGCUCACCAAGGCGACGAUCAGUAGCUGGUCUGAGAGGACGAUCAGCGACACUGAGACUGAGACACGGCCCAGACUCCUACGGGAGGCAGCAGUGGGGAAUUUUGGACAAUGGCGGCAACCCUGAUCCAGCAAUGCCGCGUGUGUGAAGAAGGCCUUCGGGUUGUAAAGCACUUUUGUCCGGAAAGAGAUCGCACUUACUAAUAUUAGGUGUGGAUGACGGUACCGGAAGAAUAAGGACCGGCUAACUACGUGCCAGCAGCCGCAGUAACAC
rnacentral:rRNA from 1 species